CCGAGGGGGGUAGGGAGGGGAGCAGGCCGCUCCGGAGAGGCCGGGCCGGGCCCGCUGCACGGUGCGUCCCCCCGCCCCUGCCCGGAAGCGAGCGCCCCGGCCGGGGUUAAGGGCCGCGGAGAGGUCGGGCCGCUGCCGCCAGGGAGCACGCUGACGAGCUGUUGGGAGACUGGGCAGAGCGGCCAGAGAUGCUCCGGCUGCAGAGGCUGAGGAGGUUGGCGGGGGCAAGCUGCCUGCUCCGGAGACGCAGCGCUACGUGGAGGAGCUCUACCAAAAAUGCAUCGUUUUCGGAAGUGCUGCAGCUGGAGGAUACAAAGCUCACUGGUGUAGUUUUCCCUCUGCAGGGUCUAGAGAGGUAUCUAGCCCCAGGUGUGAACACUGCAAGCUUCCGGAUUUUCAACCCCGGCCUGGAUCACAUCCACAGGGCAGAGGCACUUUUCAAACCCUCGGGCAGACACGUGAUUGAUUAUGUCAGUUCUGCUGUCCGCAUGGACCAUGCACCACAGCUCUCACAGCCUGAGGUAUGCUUUGUGGGCAGAAGCAAUGUUGGGAAAUCCUCCUUAAUAAAGGCCUUGUUUUCAUUGGCUCCCGAUGUUGAAGUCAGAGUGUCAAAAACUCCAGGCCACACAAAGAAAAUGAAUUUCUUCAAGGUGGGGAAAUACUUUACAUUGGUGGACAUGCCAGGGUAUGGCUACCGAGCCCCGCAAGACUUUGCUGACAUGGUGGAGGCCUAUUUACAAGAGCGUCAGAACUUGAAGAGGACGUUCUUAUUAGUGGACAGCGUGGUAGGAUUUCAGAAAGCAGACCACAUUGCCAUAGAAAUGUUGGAGGAGUUUGGGAUCCCUUACGUUUUUGUGUUAACCAAAAUCGACAAAGCUCCCAAGGGACUGUUGGUUAAAAAUGUACUGGAGAUCCAGGACUUUGCAGAGAAGCACACUCAGGGGUGCUUUCCUCAGCUCUUCCCAGUCAGUUCCAUAGAGUAUUCUGGUAUCCACCUGCUGAGGUGUUUUAUAGCCCAUGUUACAGGAAACCUUCCCAUGAUGAAUUCCUGACAGCCACAACUCUCUUGUUGUAUUCUACUCAUCCAGCACAACAGUGUUGACAAGGAAGUAGCAAGAACACUCUUUCCUGCUGUAUGGCUUCCUACCUGGAAGUGGAAAGGACUUGUCCUUUAAGAAGUUACGAGAGGAUGAUGCCUGCAAAGGAAGUCUGGUACACAAGCUGCAUGGAAUCCUACAUGAAAAGCCACCAUCUCCAGGACACGGUACAACUUAUCAAGCAGUUGCAUUUUCUCUUCAUUUGUUGUCCUCACAGCAAUCUGGUGCCUGCGGAAUACAAAUACAUUACCUUAAUUGCAUGCCCAGGCCAAAGAGAAACCUCUGUCAACUUUAAAAGGAAAUGUAAUAAUGUUAGAAAAACAAGAGGCUGGAUGAUUUAAACCUACUUUUCCAUUUGUACUUAAGUGUCUUUCUAAAGGAAGGUGCACUCUCAUUGGAAGAUGCAACUAUUAAAACAUUAAUUUACAACUAAAGCCUUUUCACUAGAUUUAGUGCAUCUUUUGCUACCUAAGAGGAUACAUAAUUUCUUAAAUUUAGAUAAUUCUAGUGUAUCUUAAUAUUUUCAGAUUAACUGUACAUUUUUAGUAUGUUAGAAAACGGUGAGUGAUAUUGCUUAUUUACUAGAUAAUUUAUUUUUUGCUCUGAUUUGUGUCAAGCUGUAUUAGGAGGGUAACUGGAAUUUAAACAAACACAAAACAGCAUAAAAAAUACCACCUUAAAUGUUUCGGACAGAAUCUCUUAUCAAAGCAUGUUCCAUGUUUACAACUAAUCUCUAUUUAAUAAAUCAUUUAA